AUGACCCGGCAUCUUGAGCUGCAAGUACAUAUAACAAGGCCUUGCCAUGAAUUUUUCAUAAGCCGGUCGCCCAAACAGUGCAUGGUACGGGCUCUGGAUUCUCACCACCUCAAAGGUCAAUGUCUCAGACCGGGAAUCAUGUUCAUCACCAAACACAACUUCCAAACCGAUCUUGCCUACAGGAUAUGCCGAUUUACCUGGCACCACAUCAUGAAAAACAGUGUUGGACGGUUUAAGACUCUUGUCUGUCAACCCCAUGCGACGGAAGGUCUCAUAAUACAGAAUGUUAAUACUGCUUCCUCCAUCCAUGAGUACUUUGGUGAACUUAUAACCUCCCACCUGAGGCGCCACCACCAAAGCCAGUUGACCCGGAUUGUCAACCCGGGGCGGAUGAUCCUCCCUACUCCACACAAUAGGUUGUUCGGACCAUCGCAGAUAGCGUGGUACUGUCGGUUCAACAGCAUUAACUGCCCUCUUGUGAAGCUUCUGAUCACGCUUGCACAAACUAGUGGUGAACACAUGAUACUGCCCACCAUUCAACUCCUUUGGGUGACUGGUAACCCGACUGCUCCUGAUUUCCUUAAUUAUUCUGCUGGUUAUUACCACCUUGGUUGUUCUGGUUGCCAUGGUUAUUCUGAAACCCAGAGUUUGAACCGUCGCCACCAUGAAAACCUGGACCUGAACCGCCUGACGGACCCUGAUCAUACCGGAAAAGAUCAGAGUUUUUGA
rnacentral:rRNA from 1 species